rnacentral:tRNA from 1 species
CCCGCGAUAGCUGAGAUGGUUCAAGCGUUCGGUUGAAGCCCGGAAGACGGGGGUUCGAGUCCCUCUCGCGGGA